rnacentral:lncRNA from 1 species
UUGGAAUUGUAAAAUCAUGACAGUAAAUGUAAAUCUGUGUGAAACUUACCUGAAAGAAGUAGGACUAAUGAGAACCCGAACCAUCCCGACUUCCGAGCAUCUACCAUCCAGAUAGACCUGCAAAUAUUUCCAUCAGACGCGUAAACACGAAGUCUUUUAAAGCAUAAAAGUUUUGAUAUACGAAGUCUUAAAAGCAUAUAUACACCAUAAACAAAGGAAACAGACCAAAAGCUGUGGAAGAUGAUGACACGACACGCCGUAGAUAUUAAAAACAUUUCUUCAUUCAUUCAUAUUUACACACGCAUACUAUUAUCAUACAUUCUAAUCAUCUGUAUAGUGUAUACACAUCAUCAUCACUAUUUCUCAUUCAAUACAUCCUAUAUUAAUGUCUAGAGAGGAAUCAUUAUAGUGGGUGAGUAUGGAACUGAGUCAAAUUUACCUCAAUCAAAUAAUGGAAACAGAGAAACCAACCAAGCCCUGCACUUGACAAAAUUGUUUGUAUAUAUGCCAUGCCACCUACAAAAUAAAUUCAAUGUUGCAAAUAAUCAAUCAGAUGGAUGAUAAUAAACAAACGACUUGGAAAUUAAUCUCUAUAUAACAACAGAUGAAAAAAUAUGGAAGAAAACAGAAUAUUGAGCUCACCAUAGAUAUAUGUUUGAGAGCAGAGUAGAAGAAUUUGAAGAUCCG